rnacentral:rRNA from 1 species
CACGUAGGGGGCGAGCGUUGUCCGGAUUUAUUGGGCGUAAAGAGCUCGUAGGCGGUUUGGCAAGUCGGGUGUGAAAUUUCGAGGCUCAACCUCGAAACGCCACUCGAUACUGCCAUGACUGGAGUCCGGUAGAGGAGUGCGGAAUUCCUGGUGUAGCGGUGAAAUGCGCAGAUAUCAGGAGGAACACCAACGGCGAAGGCAGCACUCUGGGCCGGUACUGACGCUGAGGAGCGAAAGCGUGGGGAGCGAACAGG